rnacentral:lncRNA from 1 species
CAACAUUGUGGCUCUAAGAGUAAGGAGCCUGGGCCUCAUCCUUGCUUGACUGUCAUUCUCCUCUUGCAGGCUGAAAGUCACUGAGGCUACCAUUCCCCAACUGGCAUUUCAACUUUCUGAGGAGGGUCAUCUCUAGAUUAGGAUCCGCCUGGAUAUGGUGGCUGGCCUUAAUACCAUAAUUACCAAAAAACUCAUUGAGCUGCACAUGGAAAUCGAUGUCAUAGCUGAAGUCCGUUCGAAAACUGACUAUCAAGGGAACUCUCAUUUAGUCCUUGGACAGUGUACCAACAGCCCCAUUAACUUACAUAUCACUCUUCUACGAAAGUUCUCCUUUGCAAUCAACUUCUUGGCUAACAAAGUCAUUAGUGCCUUGAUCCCAGCACUGCCUACUUUAGUGAAAAAGGACGUGAGUGUGAUGCCUUUUCCUUAUGGGUGGGAGAGCAUAGCAUUGUGGGAAUCCAUUCACGCCAGUAACUGACCUGGUGACCUCUGCUCUACAAGGGCAAUGACUGGGCCAUUCUCAGGAAGAAGCAGUCAUUUCAGUUGUGAGAACUGAACCUUGGGUAAUGAAUUAGUGAAUACAAUUUGACCAUGUUUGUUUCAACUGGGGGGGAAAAAAGGAAGACUUAGGGAUUGGUACGAGCACUGUCUUCAAACAUCUGGAAGGCUAUUGUGAUAAAUAGGGAUUCUUAACCUUUUUGUGUCAUGGACCUCUUUGCCAGUCCAGUGAGUGCUAUGGACUCCUUCUCUGAAUGUUUUUAAAUGCAUAAAAUAAAAUAUGCAAGAUUACAAAGGAAAUUGUUUAU